rnacentral:lncRNA from 1 species
AGAGCUUAUGAUUACAGCACCAAUGCAAACAAACAGUCAGUGGGGUUCUCAAAUGAACAUGAAUUGCUCAGUGUACGAACCCACACCUCGUUCGAUUGCCCAACCCCCUCCUGUUAGUAGACCGCUGCAGAGAGGAAGCUGGCAGACAGGAAGCACCUCCAGCACUUCUAGUAGUAGCAGUCACAGAUUGAGCAUUCAGAGCACCGUCAGCAACAGCAGUGAGGUGGAAGGUGAAUGUGAGGAAUCCAGACAUACUAAACGAGCGAUAUGUAUCGACUCCAUCCCGUCCUGUUCAUCAGACGCCUGCGCAAAGGUCCAUGCCACCUCCACCUAUACCGAGACGCACAUGGUGAAGGCCUGCUUCAGCAUGGCUGGCUUUCGUUCUGUUUGACUCUGCACUUUUCUUGUUGAGCCUUUGAGAUCUGUAAGUCUCUUCAAGGUGGAACAGAAACUACUGGCUGUGUCCGAAACUGAAGACGGCUCAUUUCCUCCCCUACACUGUAAAAAAAAUUCUGUAGUUUUUACAAAAUAAUUUUGGCAGCUGUGGUUGCCAGAAUAAUUUUGUAAAAAAUACAGAAAAACUGUAAACACAUUUACGGCCAAAAACUGUAAAUUUCACAGUAAAAAACUGUAAUUUACAAACAAGAAAAUUUGAAUGUAAACCAGUAAAUUCAACAAUGCACACUGCUAUUAAAAUCUGUUUUGUACCUUUAACAUACUGACAACCACCAUAAUAAUGCAGGUGGUAAAAGAGAAAGCCACAUGAAGAAUCAAAGCUCAUCACAAGUAGCUUCGCCACAAGCAGAAGUAUAUACUAAUAUAUAGAAGGUGCACAGAGUCAUUCAUGCAAACACAAAACACCAUCAUGGUAACACACAUGAUACUUAAAUAAUGCAUUAAACUUUCAUUAAACAACAGAAGAUGUAACAUAAAGCCCAAAUAUACAUAACUAAUAACAAAAACUAUUAAAAAAACAUGAUUAUUUAAACAAAAUACCUUAAAAUGUGGAGUGUCAUGCAGGGAAUUCGGGGUAUAUCAGUUUACAGUUUUUGACUGUAAAUUAUACAUUGAUUUGUUAUUUUUCCUUCUAAAAACUGUCAAAUUAAC